GUAGGUGGCAAGCGUUGUCCGGAAUUAUUGGGCGUAAAGCGCGCGCAGGCGGUUCUUUAAGUCUGAUGUGAAAGCCCACGGCUCAACCGUGGAGGGUCAUUGGAAACUGGAGAACUUGAGUACAGAAGAGGAAAGCGGAAUUCCACGUGUAGCGGUGAAAUGCGUAGAGAUGUGGAGGAACACCAGUGGCGAAGGCGGCUUUCCUGGUCUGUAACUGACGCUGAGGCGCGAAAGCGUGGGGAGCAAACAGGGAUUAGAUACCCUGGUAGUCCACGCCGUAAACGAUGAGUGCUAAGUGUUAGGGGGUUUCCGCCCCCUUAGUGCUGCAGCUAACGCAUUAAGCACUCCGCCUGGGGAGUACGGCCGCAAGGCUG
rnacentral:rRNA from 1 species